rnacentral:rRNA from 1 species
AGAGUUUGAUCCUGGCUCAGAACGAACGCUGGCGGCGUGCUAACACAUGCAAGUCGAACGAGAAGUACGUAGCAAUACGUAUUGUAAAGUGGCGCACGGGUGAGUAACACGUGGGUAAUCUGCCCUUGAGUUUGGGAUAACCCCGCGAAAGCGGGGCUAAUACCGGAUAAGACCACGGGGACCAAAGUCCCUGAGGUAAAAGGUGGCCUCUAUUUAUAAGCUACCACUUGAGGAUGAGCCCGCGGCCCAUUAGCUAGUUGGCAGGGUAACGGCCUACCAAGGCAAUGGUGGGUAGCUGGUCUGAGAGGACGAUCAGCCACACUGGAACUGAGACACGGUCCAGACUCCUACGGGAGGCAGCAGUGGGGAAUAUUGCGCAAUGGGCGAAAGCCUGACGCAGCAACGCCGCUUGGGGGAUGAAGGUUCUCGGAUUGUAAACCCCUUUCGAUCGGAACGAAUCCCCUCCUGGUAAAUAAUCAGGAGGAUCGACGGUACCGAGAGAAGAAGCCACGGCUAACUCUGUGCCAGCAGCCGCGGUAAGACAGAGGUGGCGAGCGUUGUUCGGAUUUAUUGGGCGUAAAGCGAACGCAGGUGGUUUGGUAAGUCAGGGGUGAAAGCCCACAGCUUAACUGUGGCAUUGCCUUUGAUACUGCCUUUCUUGAGUAGAGUAGGGGGAAGCGGAAUUCCGAGUGUAGAGGUGGAAUUCGUAGAUAUUCGGAGGAACACCGGUGGCGAAGGCGGCUUCCUGGACUCUAACUGACACUCAUGUUCGAAAGCGUGGGGAGCAAACAGGAUUAGAUACCCUGGUAGUCCACGCCCUAAACGAUGGGCACUAGGUGUGGGAGGUAUCGACCCCUUCCGUGCCGCAGCUAACGCAUUAAGUGCCCCGCCUGGGGAGUACGGCCGCAAGGUUGAAACUCAAAUGAAUUGACGG